UACGGAGGGUGCAAGCGUUGUCCGGAUUUAUUAGGUUUAAAGGGUGCGUAGGCGGCCCGUUAAGUCAGUGGUGAAAGCCUCCAGCUCAACUGGAGAACUGCCAUUGAUACUGACGGGCUUGAGUACAGACGAGGUUGGCGGAAUUGAUUGUGUAGCGGUGAAAUGCAUAGAUACAAUCAAGAACUCCGAUUGCGUAGGCAGCUAACUAGGCUGUAACUGACGCUGAGGCACGAAAGCGUGGGGAGCGAACAGG
rnacentral:rRNA from 1 species